rnacentral:rRNA from 1 species
GAGUUUGAUCCUGGCUCAGAUUGAACGCUGGCGGCAUGCCUUACACAUGCAAGUCGAACGGCAGCACGGGAGCUUGCUCCUGGUGGCGAGUGGCGAACGGGUGAGUAAUGCAUCGGAACGUAUCCUGGAGUGGGGGAUAACGUAGCGAAGGUUACGCUAAUACCGCAUAUUCUGUGAGCAGGAAAGCGGGGGACCUUCGGGCCUCGCGCUCUUGGAGCGGCCGAUGUCGGAUUAGCUAGUUGGUGAGGUAAAGGCUCACCAAGGCGACGAUCCGUAGCAGGUCUGAGAGGAUGAUCUGCCACACUGGAACUGAGACACGGUCCAGACUCCUACGGGAGGCAGCAGUGGGGAAUUUUGGACAAUGGGGGCAACCCUGAUCCAGCCAUGCCGCGUGAGUGAAGAAGGCCU